AGUGAACGCUGGCGGUAGGCCUAACACAUGCAAGUCGAACGGCAGCACAGUAAGAGCUUGCUCUUACGGGUGGCGAGUGGCGGACGGGUGAGGAAUACAUCGGAAUCUACUUUUUCGUGGGGGAUAACGUAGGGAAACUUACGCUAAUACCGCAUACUACCUACGGGUGAAAGCAGGGGAUCUUCGGACCUUGCGCGAUUGAAUGAGCCGAUGUCGGAUUAGCUAGUUGGCGGGGUAAAGGCCCACCAAGGCGACGAUCCGUAGCUGGUCUGAGAGGAUGAUCAGCCACACUGGAACUGAGACACGGUCCAGACUCCUACGGGAGGCAGCAGUGGGGAAUAUUGGACAAUGGGCGCAAGCCUGAUCCAGCCAUACCGCGUGGGUGAAGAAGGCCUUCGGGUUGUAAAGCACUUUUGUUGGGAAAGAAAAGCAGCAGGUUAAUACCCCGAUGUUCUGACGGUACCCAAAGAAUAAGCACCGGCUAACUUCGUG
rnacentral:rRNA from 1 species